UUUACUUAGCUAUCGAUUAAUGAUGAGAAAAUAUUUUCGUUUCAAAUCAACUACGUGAUUAUUGAAUGAGCAAAUAAAGAAGUUUGGUCUCAAAGGCGACUAUUCUCAGUACACCAUUUGACAGAAAAAAAUAAUAACAAAACAAACAACCAUGGAUAUCUAUGAUUCACAUUUUGUGGGGUCCAAAUGGAGGCAAGUGACAGUCUGAUGGAGUGAUUUUAAUUUCAUCGACAAUCGACAUCCUGAUAAUUUUUCACCUAUUUGGAUUGGACUUCAGUUUGUUGUACCUAAGAUCGUUGAACUGAUAGGAUUGAGCAUUCAGAUGGCGUAGAUUGAAAUUCUUUCUUCACGUUGAAACUACAGAAACUAAUACGAGUACCUAUAUUAAAGCACGUGAUCAUAUUCAACUACAGCAACGAAUCAACGUGAACAGGAGUACCAUACACUUGCCCCCCCCCCCCAAAUAACAAAAUGAAGCUGACCAGGAGCAACUACACAGCUACACCAACAUCAACAACAACAGCCGAAUUGCUACAGCACCUGACGGCGUCCACGAAGAUGCGAUACGAUUACAUAUUAUCCACUCGCGAUAGCUCCACAAUGCGUUUAUUUUUCACCGCCCUGUACUUAUCGAGUAACUUUAUUUCGGCGAUUUGCUUCGUAUUACUAUUACGCUUCUACUUCUCAAAAAAAUACCACCGAGUGCACGAGAAAAAUCUCAACUCGACUUGUUUGAGUUUACUGGCGAUAAACGUGUUGAAAUUGGUGAAUUUGUUUUGGAAAAACGCCUACGUAAACGAGGCUCUAGUACAUCUGAACACUAUGACAACUUUUCUACUAUUGACCACCGCAGUCGAUUUGUAUUUAACGCUGAAAAGCAUCAUAAAAGACGUAUUCGUCGAGGAGGCUGCAAAUCGCAAACGAUUCGCUUUCUAUUCGUUGUGCGGCUGGGUCCUUCCGGCCGGCAUAUUGCGCCUUAUUUCUUACUGCGAGUAUUUUCAAUAUGAUUUCGAGUCAACCUUGAUCAGUUUGCACGCUUGUCUCAAUUUCAUUACCGUGCUUUUAGUUCGAUCCGGUUUACGAACGACGUGCUAUACGAAUUUCGGCGAAAAUUUCGAAGGGUAUAAGUAUUACUCGGACGAGAAAUGUACGUCGAACGUCGUUCGUAUCCUUUCGUCGAUCAGACUCGUAUUUUACGCGUUAUUCCUCAUCAGUCACAAACACGUCGCGUUGUCUAUUUUAGAUUUCUUUCGCGCGUAUGAAGGAAUGUUCAUUUAUUAUUACUUGGUGGUGGAAAGACGUAAGAAAUGGUCUUACACGGUUAAUCCGCGACAUCAGUCGAUUUGGUCUUCUAACACCGUUUAAUACUGCCAAAAUUUUUGUAUAUAAUUUUCACUGGUUGUACAUUGAUGAAUAAAUUUCUUCGCAACUGG